UACGUAGGGACCAAGCGUUGUUCGGAUUUACUGGGCGUAAAGGGCGCGUAGGCGGCGUGGUAAGUCACUUGUGAAAUCUCUGAGCUUAACUCAGAACGGCCAAGUGAUACUGCUGUGCUAGAGUGCAGAAGGGGCAAUCGGAAUUCUUGGUGUAGCGGUGAAAUGCGUAGAUAUCAAGAGGAACACCUGAGGUGAAGACGGGUUGCUGGGCUGACACUGACGCUGGAGGCGCGAAAGCCCAGGGGAGCAAACGGG
rnacentral:rRNA from 1 species